rnacentral:rRNA from 1 species
AAGUCGAACGCGUCUCCGUUAAUGAUUUUAGGUGCUUGCACUUGAAAGAUUUAACAUUGAGACGAGUGGCGAACUGGUGAGUAACACGUGGGUAACCUGCCCUUGAAGUAGGGGAUAACACUUGGAAACAGGUGCUAAUACCGUAUAACAACCAAAACCACCUGGUUUUGGUUUAAAAGACGGCUUCGGCUGUCACUUUAGGAUGGACCCGCGGCGUAUUAGCUUGUUGGUAAGGUAACGGCCUACCAAGGCGAUGAUACGUAGCCGACCUGAGAGGGUAAUCGGCCACAUUGGGACUGAGACACGGCCCAAACUCCUACGGGAGGCAGCAGUAGGGAAUCUUCCACAAUGGACGAAAGUCUGAUGGAGCAACGCCGCGUGAGUGAUGAAGGGUUUCGGCUCGUAAAACUCUGUUGCUGGAGAAGAACAGGUGUCAGAGUAACUGUUGACAUCUUGACGGUAUCCAACCAGGAAGCCACGGCUAACUACGUGCCAGCAGCCGCGGUAAUACGUAGGUGGCAAGCGUUGUCCGGAUUUAUUGGGCGUAAAGCGAGCGCAGGCGGUUUUUUAGGUCUGAUGUGAAAGCCUUCGGCUUAACCGGAGAAGUGCAUCGGAAACCGGGAGACUUGAGUGCAGAAGAGGACAGUGGAACUCCAUGUGUAGCGGUGAAAUGCGUAGAUAUAUGGAAGAACACCAGUGGCGAAGGCGGCUGUCUGGUCUGUAACUGACGCUGAGGCUCGAAAGCGUGGGUAGCGAACAGGAUUAGAUACCCUGGUAGUC